UGACCAUGUGUUCAACGGCCGCGGUAUUCUGACCGCGCAAAGGUAGCGUAAUCACUUGUUUUUUAAAUAAAGACUAGUAUGAACGGCUUCACGAGGACUUGACUGUCUCCCUUUUCCAAUCAGUGAAACUAAUCUUCUCGUGCAGAAGCGAGAAUACACCCAUUAGACGAGAAGACCCUAUGGAGCUUUAAACUUAAAUCAACUACCCUUUUUUCCCCUCUAAGGAGCUGACAAGAUUACUAGACUAAUUUAAGUUUUAGGUUGGGGCGACCAAGGAGAAAAAAACAACCUCCCUGAUGAUUUUAAAACCAAGAGCCACAGCUCUAAGUAUUAGGACUCUUAACUCCCAUUGACCCAUUUUUUGAUCAACGAACCAAGUUACCCUAGGGAUAACAGCGCUAUCCAUUUCAAGAGUCCCUAUCGACAAAUGGGUUUACGACCUCGAUGUUGGAUCAGGGCAUCCUAGUGGUGCAACCGCUACUAAUGGUUCGUUUGUUCAACGAUUAAAGCCCUACGUGAUCUGAGUUCAA
rnacentral:rRNA from 1 species